UUGCCAAAAUGCGACUCUCUAUCCUCUAAAAAUAAUAAUUAAACAAUCCUUUUGAAAUGUGUACUAGAGUCAGUUACCUCCAUAUCCUAUAGCUCGUCUCUUCCGGUGAACCAAAACCCUAACCCUAACCUGAGUUUUGAUCCUAAAUGGAACCGGCGAACGACGAUGACCACCGAGCUAAUGGCUCCGACCACAGCCAUUUGGCUAAGAAACCUAAGCUGUCCACCAGCUCGUCUUCUCUCAUUACGGAUUCCGAAAUACGUGAAGAGUUCUCCCAUCAUCAGCCCGGGAUAGCUCGUAUCAAUAACGGCAGCUUCGGUAGCUGUCCGGCGUCCAUCAUCGCAGCUCAGAAGCAUUGGCAGCUCCGUUUUCUACAGCAACCCGAUGACUUCUUCCUUAACCAUCUUCAGAAGCGGAUUCUUCAUUCACGGACUAUUAUCAAGGAUGUUAUUAAUGCGGAGCACGUGGAUGAGGUAUCUCUUGUGGAUAACGCUACUACUGCUGCUGCAAUCGUUCUUCAACAUGUUGGAUGGGCUUUCGCGGAGGGACGUUUCAAGAAGGGAGAUGCUGUGGUCAUGCUCCAUUGUGCGUUUCAGGCUGUUAAGAAAUCGAUUGAGGCUUAUGUCACCCGUGCUGGUGGUUCUGUGAUCGUUGUUCAUUUGCCGUUUCCUCUUCGUUCGGAGGAAGAGAUUGUUGCGGAGUUUCGGAAAGCCUUGGCUAAGGGGAAAGCGAAUGGAAAGAAGGUUCGGUUGGCUAUCAUUGAUCACAUUACAUCAAUGCCGUGUGUUGUCAUACCUGUGCGUGAUUUGGUUAAGAUUUGUAGGGAAGAAGGUGUUGAACGGGUGUUUGUCGAUGCUGCCCAUGCCAUUGGCAGUGUUCCUGUCGAUGUUAAAGAAAUUGGAGCUGAUUUUUAUGUAAGCAACUUGCACAAGUGGUUUUUCUGUCCUCCUUCGGUUGCCUUUUUGUAUUGUCGGAAAUCACCUGUAUCACCUGAUCUACACCAUCCUGUGGUGUCUCAUGAAUAUGGUAAUGGUCUAGCCAUUGAAAGUGCAUGGAUAGGGACGAGAGACUACAGCUCUCAGCUAGUUAUACCUGAGGUGUUAGAAUUUAUAAAUAGGUUUGAAGGUGGGAUUGAGGGAAUUAGGUUGAGGAAUCAUAAGGCUGUGAUUGAAAUGGGACAAAUGUUGGCCAAUGCUUGGGGAACAUCGCUUGGCUGCCCUCCUGACAUGUCUCCAGGUAUGGCAAUGGUUGGUUUGCCUGUUAACCUUAGGAUUCUCAGCGAUAAGGAUGCUUUAACUUUGAGAAAUCAUUUGCGUGACCAUUUUGGGGUGGAAGUCCCAAUUCACUACGAGGAAAUAAAGGAAUGCUCGGAUGGUGAUGGCUACGUGACAGGAUAUGCUCGGAUUUCUCAUCAGGUUUACAAUAAGGUUGAUGACUAUAUAAAGUUGAAGGAUGCAAUUCUUCAGCUUGUGCGAGACGGAGUUACUUGUAAGAUGCUUCCCUCAGAAUAAGAGGAAUUCUUCAGAUAGUUAUUGAUAGGUUGUUUCACCAGUUUGUAUGGAGUUUUGUACUCUGGAAAAACAAGUUGUAGAAGUUUUCUGGUUAUCAAGAAUAAUCCUUGUAGAAGAAGCAUUAUAAUCAAGUAGAAGAGCGCAGACAGAUUUUACGUUCGGUUGGAGAAAGCCAAACAGGUGUCAAGAAUAAAUAUUUUCUCCUCAGCGGGAAGGCUAGAUUAAAUCUUUAAAGAUGCAUGAAGUGAUUAGAGUUCUUGUUGUCCCUCCGAAGACAGCGAAUGAAAUUCGAAUGAAUCAAGUUCUUGUUGGAAAUUGUUUUCUUAUUUCAUUUUUUCCUGUUAUUUUUUAAGCAGUAAUCUUAUUUACUGGUCUUUUACUGCUAUGUUUAUGUGCAAUUUUGAAGAAGGAAUGCUUUUGGAAA